GAUGAACGCUGGCGGCGUGCCUAAUACAUGCAAGUCGAGCGAACGGACGAGAAGCUUGCUUCUCUGAUGUUAGCGGCGGACGGGUGAGUAACACGUGGAUAACCUACCUAUAAGACUGGGAUAAUUUCGGGAAACCGGAGCUAAUACCGGAUAAUAUUUUGAACCGCAUGGUUCAAAAGUGAAAGACGGUCUUGCUGUCACUUAUAGAUGGAUCCGCGCUGCAUUAGCUAGUUGGUAAGGUAACGGCUUACCAAGGCAACGAUGCAUAGCCGACCUGAGAGGGUGAUCGGCCACACUGGAACGGAGACACGGUCCAGACUCCAACGGGAGGCAGCAGUAGGGAAUCUUCCGAAAUGGGCGAAAGCCUGACGGAGCAACGCCGCGUGAGUGAUGAAGGUCUUCGGAUCGUAAAACUCUGUUAUUAGGGAAGAACAUAUGUGUAAGUAACUGUGCACAUCUUGACGGUACCUAAUCAGAAAGCCACGGCUAACUACGUG
rnacentral:rRNA from 1 species